rnacentral:rRNA from 1 species
AUUGAACGCUGGCGGCAGGCCUAACACAUGCAAGUCGAACGAGUGGCGGACGGGUGAGUAAUGGCGGGGAAACUGCCUGAUGGAGGGGGAUAACUGCUGGAAACGGUAGCUAAUACCGCAUACCAUCAGAUGUGCCCAGUUGGGAUUAGCUAGGUGGUGGGGUAACGGCUCACCAAGGCGAAGAUCCCUAGCUGGUCUGAGAGGAUGACCGGCCACACUGGAACUGAGACACGGCCCAGACUCCUACGGGAGGCAGCAGUGGGGAAUCUUGCACAAUGGGCGAAAGCCGGAUGCAGCCAUGCCGCGUGUAUGAAGAAGGCCUUCGGGUUGUAAAGUACUUUCAGCGGGGAGGCGUUACCCGCAGAAGAAGCACCGGCUAACUCCGUGCCAGCAGCCGCGGUAAUAC